rnacentral:rRNA from 1 species
GGUUGCGAUCAUACCAGCACUAAUGCACCGGAUCCCAUCAGAACUCCGCAGUUAAGCGAGCUCGGGCAAGAGUAGUACUAGGAUGGGUGACCCCCUGGGAAGUCCUCGUGUUGCAACCC